GUAGGGUGCAAGCGUUAAUCGGAAUUACUGGGCGUAAAGCGUGCGCAGGCGGUUUUGUAAGACAGUGGUGAAAUCCCCCGGGGCUCAACCUGGGGAACUGCCAUUGUGACUGCAAGGCUGGAGUGCGGCAGAGGGGGAUGGAAUUCCGCGUGUAGCAGUGAAAUGCGUAGAUAUGCGGAGGAACACCGAUGGCGAAGGCAAUCCCCUGGGCCUGCACUGACGCUCAUGCACGAAAGCGUGGGGAGCAAACAGGAUUAGAUACCCUGGUAGUCCACGCCCUAAACGAUGUCAACUGGUUGUUGGGAAUUUAUUUUCUCAGUAACGAAGCUAACGCGUGAAGUUGACCGCCUGGGGAGUACGGCUGCAAGGUUA
rnacentral:rRNA from 1 species